CAUUAAUGCACAUCCUGGUGAUAAACUUGACCCAAAUCAGGAAGGAGAAAUCUGUGUGCAAACCCCAUUUAUGCUCACAGGGUAUCUCAACAAGCCGAAACUACCAAUUUCCUUAGAGAAGGAUGGGCACUAUGAUGAUAAUAAACAAGUUGUUAUUGUUGGACGCUACAAAGAACUGAUUAAAUUUCGUAUUCUCGACAUAUUACCAAGUAACAUUGAAAGUCAUAUAGUAAGUCAUCCUGCUGUCGAAGAUGCAGCAGUCGUGGGUUUACCCCACGACGAAGAUGGGGAACGGCCAUUCGCUUUCGUCGUCUUAUCUACAAAGAAAGAAAUUUCGGCUGAUGAAUUGAUGGCUUAUGUAAACGAUAAAGUCAUGGAGGAAGAAAAAUUACGUGGCGGGCUCCGCACAGUUCAUGUUGCAUGGUUUCACCUCGAAGGAUCGCUUCCUUGCAACAUUUAGCGCGUCUCAAACUCAGACUAUGCCUAACCGGACUGGACCAGCUUGACAAUCCCAUAUUCGCUGACCGAAUAUCCAGGCUCAUCCGUAACUUGAUCGCUUCCUUCUUUUCCAACACCGUCCAUUGUCAUGUUCCGGAAGAGCAACGAAUUCGAGAUUAUGUCUGCAAAGCGCCACCUGGUAACAUACGGCUCUACUGCACUAUGAUAUGACGCGAUGAAGAAGACUGCCGGCUGGCAUGAAGUGGACGGACUGAUCGAUCCGAUCAGCAGCGGUGGAGGUGUUGGCUUCACCCUCUAUCUCGAAUUCCUCGGUGGACUCAUUCCUCUUCUCAAGGGUAAACCAACGUCGAGAAUAAGACCAGAGUUUGUUAUUUACGAUCCGCGAAAGUUCUCCAGCAACGAUAUGAGUAAAAGUCAGCCGUUGUUAAACAAGAGCUCCGAAUUGCUGUUAGCUCCUCCACCGGCCAGCAAAUUCCAGCAAUUGCUUAG